GAUGAAGAACGUAGCGAAAUGCGAUAAGUAAUGUGAAUUGCAGAAUUCAGUGAAUCAUCGAAUCUUUGAACGCACAUUGCGCCCCUUGGUAUUCCGAGGGGCAUGCCUGUUCGAGCGUCAUUGUAACCCCUCAAGCUUAGCUUGGUGUUGGGGCCUGCUGUAAUAGAGCAGCCCUUAAAAUCAGUGGCGGUGCCAUUAGGCUCUAAGCGUAGUAAUUCUUCUCGCUAUAGGGUUCUGGUGGAUGCUUGCCAUUAACCUCUAAUUUUCUAUGGUUGACCUCGGAUCAGGUAGGGAUACCCGCUGAACUUAAGCAUAUCAAUAAGCGGAGGA
rnacentral:misc_RNA from 1 species